CCUACGUGUGGCAGCAGUGGGGGAUAUUGCACAAUGGGGGGAACCCUGAUGCAGUGACGCCGCGUGGGUGAAGAAGCGCCUCGGCGCGUAAAGCCCUGUCAGCAGGGAAGAAAAUGACGGUACCUGAAGAAGAAGCCCCGGCUAACUACGUGCCAGCAGCCGCGGUAAUACGGAGGGGGCAAGCGUUAUCCGGAUUUACUGGGUGUAAAGGGGGCGCAGACGGCGCUGCAAGCCAGGAGGGAAAGUCCGGGGCCCAACCCGGGGACUGCUCUUGGAACUGCGUGGCUUGAGUGCAGGAGGGGCAGGCGGAAUUCCUGGUGUAGCGGUGAAAUGCGUAGAUAUCAGGAGGAACCCCGGUGGCGAAGGCGGCCUGCUGGAGUGCAACUGACGUUGAGGCCCGAAGGCGUGGGGAGCAAACAGGAUUAGAUACCCUGGUAGUC
rnacentral:rRNA from 1 species